UAUUUGAAGAGUUUGAUCAUGGCUCAGAUUGAACGCUGGCGGCAGGCCUUAUACAUGCAAGUCGAACGAGAAAGUAUCUUCGGAUACGAGUAAAGUGGCGGACGGGUGAGUAAUACAUAGGAAUCUACCCAGUGGAGGGGGAUAGCUCGAGGAAACUCGAAUUAAUACCGCAUAAUCUCUACGGAGUAAAUGGGGGCUUCGGCUCUCGCCAUUGGAUGAGCCUAUGCAGGAUUAGCUUGUUGGUAAGGUAAUGGCUUACCAAGGCGACGAUCCUUAGCUGGUUUGAGAGGAUGACCAGCCACAUCGGGACUGAGACACGGCCCGGACUUCUACGGAAGGCAGCAGUAGGGAAUAUUGGACAAUGAGCGAAAG
rnacentral:rRNA from 1 species